GGGUUAAGUCCCGCAACGAGCUCAACCCUUAUCCUUUGUUGCCAGCGGUUAGGCCGGGAACUCAAAGGAGAAUGCCAGUGAUAAACUGGAGGAAGGUGGGGAUGACGUCAAGUAAUCAUGGCCCUUACGACCAGGGCUACACACGUGCUACAAUGGAAUAUACAAAGAGAAGCGACCUCGCGAGAGCAAGCGGACCUCAUAAAGUAUGUCGUAGUCCGGAUUGGAGUCU
rnacentral:rRNA from 1 species